rnacentral:tRNA from 1 species
GGCCUAUUAGCUCAGUUGGUCAGAGCGUGGUGCUAAUAACGCCGAGGUCGCAGGUUCGAAACCUGCGUAGGCCA